rnacentral:lncRNA from 1 species
GCCUUGAUCUCUUGACCUUGUGAUCAUCCCGCUUUGGCCUCCCAAAGUGUUGGGAUUACAGGUGUGAGCCACCGCACCCGGCCAAGAUCAGAUCAUUCCUUUGCAACUGCAAAGACACCUUAUUCCCCAUGAAGCAUCAUUUUCCCAAAGGCUGCUGUUGCUUUCAGCUCUGGUUGGUCAUUCAUACAUUUUGGAAUGCUUUCCAUUCCCAGGAUAUAGUGCAUUGGAGAGAGAGUGGAUGAACCAAUGGACACAGCUCAGCUCUGUUGGAAGUGACAGGUGUUGUUUAGUUACAGUUGUUGGUACAUGCCCCUGGAAAAGUGCAAGUGUGGCCGGAAGUAAAUUCGAUAAAGAAUAGGCUGGGUGCGGUAGCUCACGCCUGUAAUCCGAGGACUUUGGGAGGCUGAGGCAGGCGAAUCACCUGAGGUCAGGAGUUCAGGACCAGCCUGGCUAACAUGGUGAAAGCCCGUCUCUACUAAAAUACAAAAAAUUAGCUGGAUGUGGUGGUGGGCGCCUGUAAUCCCAGCUACUCAGGAGGCUGAGGCAGGAGAAUCACAGGAACCUGAGAGGCGGAGGUUGCAGUGAGCCAAGAUUGUGCCACUGCACUCGAGCCUGGGUGACAGAGCAAGAAUCUGUCUCAAACAAACAGAAAACCCCCCAAAAACCAACAAACCAACCAAACAAAAAACAUUAGCAACAAAUGCCAAAGUGUUAAGAACCUUAGCACGGAGAGAAUUCUUAUAAAAAUCAACACAAGACAAAUACCCUAAUGGCCUAACUGGGCAAAGGACACAGUGGGUGAGUCACAAGAGAGCCAUCACCUAAGUCCACACAAAAACAUCCCAAACCUCACUAACACAUCCCUGUUAGAAUUCCAUGACCUCUGCUCUUGCUUCUGAAGGAUCCUGUACCAGGCAGGCUGGGGGCAGGGUGGGAGGGGAGAAAUCUCAAAUUCAAGAUUGUUCUUUCCAUUCAACUCCCAUCCCAAAGCCUUCUCCUCUGUCACAGGGGCAGCGCUCUGCUCACUUCCUGUCUCAGGCAUCUAUUGUCCAGUGGCCGCCACUACUCCCCAUUCCAAUGAGGACACAUCUUCUGCUAAGCUGAUGGCGUGAGAGAUGGAGUCGAUCUCACAAGUUGUUGAGUUUUAGGACUCGAGAAGACAUCUGGCCUCUUCUGUCUCCUGCAUUGACACCGCCUGUGUUCAGGAUUUCAUCACCACCCACCAGAACGAUUUCAAAAACCUCAAUGCAGCUCCUAUUCUCUGGAGUCUCCUGACUACAGUUCAUUCUUCACACUCUGAACAAGAGCAACCUUUCCACCAUGCAGCUCCAGUAAUGCUCCCCUGCACAGAAACCCUCAGGGACUCCCCACUGCACAGAAGGGAAUCAUGCCUUUCCAAGAAGAAGCAUUCAAAUCACAUCAACUAUGUCCAAUGAGCAACACUGAUAUGACUCCCACGAUAUAUACUGAGGAGUUUCAUAUAUAUUUAUUCAUUUAGAUACAUAUUAUUAUUACUGUUAUUAUUUUUAUUGUUAUUUUUGAGACAGAGUCUCGCUUUGUCGCCCAGGCUGGAAUGCAGUGGACAAGUGUUUGUGAGUUGGACAAGCUUUCGUAAAGUCAUGAAAACAUUGCCAGACAAGAUCAGCUAUAAUUAAAGAUGAAUUAGAAAAAACUCCAAAAUUCUGGAUCUUAAUUGUGCUAUUUCUUUUGUAAUUUUAUUUAUUUACUUUUCUUAUUACAAAACAAUUCAAAUUAUGGCAGAAAAAUAAGAAAGGGCAGACAACUGCAUACAUGCCCACAUAUGACCAACACAUGACAUCUUCCCCAUUCAAUGACAACUACUUCUUGAUCUUCUUCUAGUAAAAAAAUGAAUCAUAUGAUGUCUACUACUUGAAAACAACUCCAUUUUAUUUACUCAGUCCUCCGCUGUUUAAAAUUUAUGUUGAUUUUGACAAAUCUCAUGUUUUAUACACUCACGUUUUCACCACUUUUUUGCUAUCAGUAGAGGCAAAGAAGCAGUAACAACUAGAUAAAAUGGAUAGGAAAUAAAAAAUAAAAGGUUUGGGAAAAGACCCCUAAAGUUCUGAAAAAUGGCUUAAAAAUACUUAAAGACACAUGAAAAGUUGUGAAAACAACCCCAAGUGCACUUACACCUUACAUAAAAAAAGCGAACUGAAAUUGGUGGCUAGGGAUAUUUGUCUUCAAACAAAGCAGUCUUCUCAGUUGCUUCUGGCCAUCGCCCGCAAUCUUUCAGACUGAAAUGCUCUCUAAGAAGUCAGUGACCUUCUACCCAACAUAAUGGACGCCCCUGCACAUCAGGCCUUUUAAAUAAGAACAGACUGGCAACAACUUGUUGUGCAUAGUAGCACAAGAAGGAGACUUUGCACCUUAGUGAUAUUGAUUUGUCCAACCCAUGAACAUGGUAUAUCUCUCCAUUGAUUUUGUUCCUUAAUUUCUCUAAGCAAUGCUUUGUAGUUUUCCAUAUAUGAAAGAUGUCUUUCACAUCUUUUGUUAGAUUUAUCCGUAAGUAUCUAAUGCUUUUUAAUGUUAUUUCAAAUGACUUUUUAAAGUUUUUUAAUUUCUAAUUGUUCAUUGUGAAUGUAUAGAAAUAGAACUGAUUUUUGUGUAGUGGUGUUUUGUAUACUGCAACCAACUUAGACACAUAUGGCUGACUGAUGUUCAAAAGGUAUAAGAGAAGGUCAGUGAAGAUAAUCUUUUCAAUAAAGGGUGCUGGAAUAAUUGGAUAUGCAUAUAUAGAAACAAACAAAAUCCCAAAACAACCUUUAAUUCAUGCCUCACAUUAUAAACAAAAAUUAAUUCAAAAUGGAUCACAGCCAUAAAUGUAAACCCUAAAGCUAUAAAACUUCUAGAGGAACACAUAGAAGUAAACCUUUGUAACCUUAGGCUAGGCAAAUAUUUCUUAGAUAUGACACCAAAAGCCCAAAACACAACAUAACAAAUUAAUAAAUUAGACUUCAUAAAAAUUAAAAACUUCUGCUUUUCAAAAGACACUGCUAAGAGAAAGGAUAAGCCACAGAAUCUGAGAAAAUAUUUGCAAAUCAUAUACCUGAUUAGGGCCUCGUAUCCAGAAUAUAUAAAGAACUCUCAAAAUUCAGUAAUGAUACAAUUCAAUUUUUUAUACAUAAGACAGAGUCAGAAAAAAAAAAAAAGACAGUCUCGCUCUGUGUCCCAGGCUGGAGUGCAGUGGCGCG